rnacentral:rRNA from 1 species
GAUGAACGCUGGCGGCGUGCCUAAUACAUGCAAGUCGAGCGAACAGAUGAGGAGCUUGCUCCUCUGACGUUAGCGGCGGACGGGUGAGUAACACGUGGAUAACCUACCCAUAAGACUGGGAUAACUUCGGGAAACCGGAGCUAAUACCGGAUAAUAUAUUGAACCGCAUGGUUCAAUAGUGAAAGACGGUUUUGCUGUCACUUAUAGAUGGAUCCGCGCCGCAUUAGCUAGUUGGUAAGGUAACGGCUUACCAAGGCAACGAUGCGUAGCCGACCUGAGAGGGUGAUCGGCCACACUGGAACUGAGACACGGUCCAGACUCCUACGGGAGGCAACAGUAGGGAAUCUUCCGCAAUGGGCGAAAGCCUGACGGAGCAACGCCGCGUGAGUGAUGAAGGUCUUCGGAUCGUAAAACUCUGUUAUUAGGGAAGAACAAAUGUGUAAGUAACUAUGCACGUCUUGACGGUACCUAAUCAGAAAGCCACGACUAACUACGUG